UUCAAACCCUCCCCGAAAUGUUUGCACAUUUCAACUUCUAUUAGGACCCAUUCAUUCGCAUACGGGCUUAGCCUCACUAAUUCUCUUUCGUAUUCAGACAUAGUUUUAUCUCCUUGUUUGAGUUCUAGGAACUCUUUUCGUUUCUGAUCUAAAAAUCUUUGACUGAUGAACUUCUUUUUAAACUCAGCUUGGAAAAAUUCCCAUGUAAUGGUCUUUCUCUGUACCAC
rnacentral:lncRNA from 1 species